UGCAGUCGAGCGGAACGAUGAURGCUUGCUAUCAGGCGUCGAGCGGCGGACGGGUGAGUAAUACUUAGGAAUCUACCUAGUAGUGGGGGAUAGCUCGGGGAAACUCGAAUUAAUACCGCAUACGACCUACGGGAGAAAGGGGGCAGUUUACUGCUCUCGCUAUUAGAUGAGCCUAAGUCGGAUUAGCUAGAUGGUGGGGUAAAGGCCUACCAUGGCGACGAUCUGUAGCUGGUCUGAGAGGAUGAUCAGCCACACCGGGACUGAGACACGGCCCGGACUCCUACGGGAGGCAGCAGUGGGGAAUAUUGGACAAUGGGGGCAACCCUGAUCCAGCCAUGCCGCGUGUGUGAAGAAGGCCUUUUGGUUGUAAAGCACUUUAAGCAGUGAAGAAGACUCCRUGGUUAAUACCCAUGGACGAUGACAUUAGCUGCAGAAUAAGCACCGGCUAACUCUGUGCCAGCAGCCGCGGUAAUACAGAGGGUGCAAGCGUUAAUCGGAAUUACUGGGCGUAAAGCGAGCGUAGGUGGCUUGAUAAGUCAGAUGUGAAAUCCCCGGGCUUAACCUGGGAACUGCAUCUGAUACUGUUAGGCUAGAAUAGGUGAGAGGAAGGUAGAAUUCCAGGUGUAGCGGUGAAAUGCGUAGAGAUCUGGAGGAAUACCGAUGGCGAAGGCAGCCUUCUGGCAUCAUAUUGACACUGAGGUUCGAAAGCGUGGGUAGCAAACAGGAUUAGAUACCCUGGUAGUCCACGCCGUAAACGAUGUCUACUAGUCGUUGGGUCCCUUGAGGACUUAGUGACGCAGCUAACGCAAUAAGUAGACCGCCUGGGGAGUACGGCCGCAAGGUUAAAACUCAAAUGAAUUGACGGGGGCCCGCACAAGCGG
rnacentral:rRNA from 1 species